AUGGAUGGUCAUAGUGCUAGCUUGGAGGAGAUAGAAGAAUAUCACAUGAUGGUUAGUCAGAUGUUUGCAAGCGAGAACCAAGGUUACGAGCACCACAACAGAUAUGCAAGAGCAAAAGGUUUUAGUGUCAGAUUGGAUGACAAGGAGUACGUGAAGGGCACCAGAGAGGUGAAAGCAAGACGUUUCUGCUGCUCUAAAGAAGGGCACCGAUUGGAGAAGUACUUUCAAGCGACUGACCAAAAAAGGGAGCCACGAGCGCUGACCCGUUGUGGUUGCAAAGCUAUGCUUGAGAUCCAACAUGAUGCAGGCAGGGGUCAGUGGUUUGUUAAGAAGUUUGUUGAUGUCCAUAACCACCCGCUAGCCGACCCGGACCAAUCUGCUUUUCUACGGUCUCACCGUCGGAUGAACGAUGCUCACAAGGCUGAUGCAGUGGAAUACGGACUUGGUGGUCUCCGUACGUUCCAAAUCAUGAAUGUGGCUGAGAAACAGCAUGGUGGCUAUCCUCAUGUUGGGUAUAUUUCCCGAGACCUGUACAAUUUCUUCGCCAGGUACAAGAAAAAAAGAAUCUUAGGCAGGGAUGCUGACUUUGUGCUGAACCAUAUGAGAGUACAGGAAGAACGAGAUGCUGAGUUUUUCUUCAAAUACACCACGGAUGAUGAAGGACAUCUUCGAAAUUUAUUCUGGGCAGAUUCACAGUCUCAGAUUGAUUAUGAAGCAUUCGGAGAUGUAGUUGUGUUUGACAGCACUUAUCGGGUCAACCGCUACAAUCUCCCUUUUGUUGCAUUUGUUGGACUGAACCAUCAUCGUAGUACUGUUGUUUUCGGGAUUGGUGUUGUUUCAGAUGAGACCCACAAGUCAUACGAGUGGCUACUUCAGACCUUUGUAGAGGCGAUGGGUCAUAAGGAGCCCAUAACUGUUAUCACAUAUGGAGAUUCGGCAAUGAGAAAAGCAAUUAGGAAGAUUUUGCCAAGGACAGACCAUCGGCUAUGCAGUUAG
rnacentral:rRNA from 1 species